rnacentral:rRNA from 1 species
AUGGAGACGCGCCCGGAGCGUAAUGGCGGUGCGUUCUUGAUCGACCGCGCGGCGGAGAUGGACGGCCCUUACGUCGCCGUCGUCGGCCAGGCGGGCGGCGGCGAGGGCGGCAGGGUCGGCGCCACCAACAUCGGGAGGCUGCGGCAGGGGAAGGCGGCCAGGGGCGGCGCCAACGUCACCUCCUGGCACCUCAGGGUGUUCGCCGUGGUGGUCGGGGUCAUGGGCUGCCUCCUGCUCGCCGCCUCCCUCGUCAUGUCCGCGCUUCACCAGGUGCAGUUCCGGAACGGCGCCAUCUCCGUCAACUUCAGGGGCCUCCAGGAGCUCAAGCAGAAUUUCGUCAGGAAGGAGCAGUCGGAGCAGAUAAUGCAUGAAAGACUUUUACAGAUGGCAACUUUGGCCACCUCCAAGAACGAGUCGGAUAGUGGAAAUUUCGCAUUAUGGGAGGAACCCUACAAACAGGCGCGCAAAUGGACGCCCUGCGCCGCCAAAUACACUUUGGAAGAAGAGCCUAGCGAGGACAACAAUGGCUUCAUUCUGGUCAGCGCAAACGGCGGCCUGAACCAGCAGCGUGUCGCCGUGUGCAAUGCUGUUGUCGUUGCAGCUCUGCUUAAUGCCACGCUUGUUCUCCCCCGGUUUCUUCACAGCAGCGUGUGGAAGGACAAAAGUCAGUUCGGUGACAUCUACCAGGAAGACUACUUCGUGAACUACAUGAAAGGCGAUGUGCUCAUCGUGAAAGAUUUACCGUCCCAUCUUCAGUCGCUGGAUCUCGAGGCAAUCGGUAGCCAAAUCACCGAUAACGACAUCUCCAAAGAGGCUGAACCAUCUGAAUUCAUCAGAACUGCGCUUCCCGUUCUUCAGAAAAAUGGUGUUGUUCAUUUCCUCGGGUUCGGCAACCGGCUCGGCUUCGACUCGGUGCCUGCCGAUCUGCAGAGGCUGCGAUGCAGAUGCAACUUCCACGCUCUCAAGUUCGCCCCGGAGAUCCAGAAGCUGGGCUCGCUGCUGGUCCAGCGGCUGCGGGGGGUGAGCGCGAUGCAGACGGAGAUGGACACGCAGCUCUUCGGAAGCAACAUGCUGGACCGGCCGUUCGGGGAUAAGAGCACCGACGACGCCGGCGGGCCGAGCAGGUACCUCGCCCUGCACUUGAGGUUCGAGGAGGACAUGGUCGCCUACUCCCUCUGCGAGUUCGGCGGCGGCGACGAGGAGAGGAGGGAGCUGCAGGCCUUCAGGGAGACCCACUUCCCGGCCCUUGUGGCGCGCCUCCGGAACACCACGGUGUCGCCGGAGGAGCUGCGGAGCCAGGGGAGGUGCCCGCUGACGCCUGAGGAGGCUGGGCUCAUCCUCGCCGCGCUCGGCUACGUCCGCGGGACGUUCAUCUACGUGGCCGGGUCGCAGAUAUACGGCGGCGCGACACGGCUGCGCCCUCUCACGCGGCUGUACCCGAACCUGGUCACCAAGGAGGACAUCCUCUCCUCCGACGAGCUCGCUCCGCUCAAGAACUUCUCCUCCCGGCUCGCGGCACUCGACUUCAUCGCGUGCGCCUCGUCGGACGUGUUCGCGGUGACGGACUCCGGCAGCCAGCUGUCGUCGCUCGUGUCGGGGCACCGCGUGUACCACGGCAGGGGCCGCGCGCCGACGCUGCACCCCAACCGGAAGCGGUACGCGCAGAUCCUCUCCGAGGAGGCCGGCAUCGAGUGGGCCGGGUUCCAGAAGAGGGUGAGGACCAUGGUGGACGAGUACAAGCGGGUCCGCGCCCGGCCCAGGGGCCGGACCGUCUACCGGCAGCCCAGGACGCCCGGGUGCAUGUGCAGGGCCGACGACGACGGCAGCAUCGACUUCUGA